CAUGGUUUCUUGUUGAAACUUAGGAAACAACAGGCCAAGGACAGUGCUUUACUGCUGCACUACAGCAGCAAUAGUUCCGUCUCCCUGACUUUCUCCUCCCCUUUCCUGGGCCCUCUUCCCUCCCAAAGCCCAGAACCACGCUUUCUCUGAACUUUCCUUCUCUACCUAAGGCCACAGCCAGCAAAGCAGGACCUUUCUGAACUAUGAUUCACCAUGGAAGAUUGAAUUUGUAUCACACAAAAGGAGACUGAAAAGCAAACACCACGCCCAGAGGCCAGAGGAGUCUGUCCAGGGGGUUGUGUAUUCUGCAGCAUCAAUGCUCAUUUAUUCCCCUUUAUUGCCUAUAGCCCAUAUACUAGGGUAGCUCAGCCCUAGGCAUCUGCUGCUUUCUUCAGUUUCACAUUCUGUGUGUCCCGCGUUCGUGUGCUUCCUCAAACACGGGUUUAACUUUUCUCCUGUGAGUUCUUGUCAAUAAACUGCAUCAGAACGAAAUCACAGACCUUCAGAGGGAAUGUUCCCAUGCCCUCAGCCUCGCUUUGGUGUCAGAAUGAUGCUGGUGUCAUAACAGGCUGAGAGCCAUUUGGGCACAGGGACUGGGAGGCUGGGCCUGCAGCUGUCCGAUGGAACCUGGAAGCCGCGUGGAGCUGGGCAUCUCUGCCUUCAGGUAUUUCUGUGUCUGUCUCUUUAUGACCUUAAAACUUCAGGUCAGAUCCCUGCUCAACUCUGCACUUAGGCUGUUAAUCACCUGAGGAUGAUCACAAGGUCAUCUCCCUGCCAGCCUUCACAGUACUCAGUUCUGUCGCAGGGUGGUUUCUGGAUGUCUGCACAUCAUCACCUGAGAGGGCCACGUGUCUGGACCAUGAGGCGGUGGCUCCGGUCGCGGGGUCAUUGUCCCUGCUUGGGAGGAGCCCUCGGCACUGGCUGGACUGGGAGCUUCCACUUUUCCUGGGAUCCGAGGUACAAAAUAAGCAGUUAAAAAUAUAAUGAACUGCUGAAUCCUGGCCCUUUGCUACACCAUAGUUAAGAAGCCCUGGGAACUCAAACAGUACAUGUUCACUCACCCCAUUCCCUCCCAGACCCUUCUCUUCUGUAGAGCACACAGUAUGUGCAUCAGAGGAGAAACGGAAAAGUGUCAAGCCUAAAACCUAGAUAAAGACCCACUGUUGGCAGGAGAUGAUAAAAGAAAAAUCACUCUACACCUACAGAAGGCACAGGAAAUACAACGACCCCAGAUGUGUUACUAUUAGGACAGGUUUCACUUCGGCAGGCAGAUGCGGGAAGCUCUCUUGCACCAGACCAGCCCCAAACACCUGGCACCCUUGUUUGCCCUCAAGAAGGAGGAGGACAUUAUGGUGCAGACUCGGGGCACACAGGGCUAAUGAGACCUGGGGACCCGGGACAAACAAGGACACCUUGCCUUCCACUAGCAAGCUGUUGAGCAACGGCAGGCUGUGAUUUCAGGUCUAGUAUGUAAAGUGUGGAAGUCACACCUCCAACCUCAUAAGAAAAAGAAACACUGAACAAACUGAAACCCACCAGCCCUUCUUAGAUCCAUUAGGGAAAAAUCACAGGGUAGACGACAGCCCGAGUCCUGGGGAAAGUGGUGUUCACAAGGAGCCACGCUUGCCAGGAGCAGAAGCUCGGGGGCACAAGUGAACCAUGAGCACCUGUGGGCCCUGGACCGUGACUCAGGAAUUCAAGUCCACGUGAGAGAACAGCAGGCGAAUGGUGAACAGACCAGUGCAUCUAUCCAUGUGAGCCAUCAAAAAAUGCAAUCUCUUGCAAAUGGGAAGGAGACCGAUAGAUGGGGGGAAGAAGAACUAAGAUGUGUCACGCACAUGUGCCAAUCCCCCUGAUGAAUGCAAUCAUUGUGUAUAACAAAUAUCUAUUCAUAAAAAUAAAAAUUAGAAAAUGAGGUGUCAAGCACUGAAAAGACAUAGAGGAUUCCUAAAUGCAUAUUACUAAGCAAAAUACCCAAAUAUGAAAAUGCUACACAGGCUAUGAUUCCAAAUACAAGGAGUGAUCGAGGAUUCAAAGAUCACUCAGAGAAGUUCAAAAUCUAUGAUUAAUUGGCUAAAAACAUGUAGUGGAACAUGGGAAAGUAUGUAUAAAAUAAUGAAUUAUGAAUUUCAGCAGAUGCAUGAAAACUGCAAAAGUACUCUGAAGAAAAUGAUAGAAAUAAAUAUACAAAAUUGGAAAUCAAUUUUUUCACAGGCUUAUUGGUAGUCUCAAAUUUGCUAAGAAAAAAUAAGUGAAUUUGAAAAUACGACAACAGUAAUUACCUAAACUGAAAGACAGAAAGAGAAACAGAAGGGAUUUUUAAGGAGAAUUUAGCAGUACUGGACAAUACAAAAUGUUCUACUGUAUUCAGAGUACCGAAGACAAAAGGGAGAAAAGUUACAGAAAAGUAAAUAGUUGAGAAUUUUUUAAAAAGUACUGAGAGAUAUGAAAUCACAGCCCCAAGAGUUUCAGAGAUUAACAAGGGGAGAAAAAUGUUUCCUGCACAGCAUUGUAAAGAGUUACAAAGAGAAGAGAGACGUUGGAAGAUAGGAAGAAAAAGACGACACAUUAUACACAGAAAGGCAAUGGUCGGUACUAGAGUACACUUCUAGUUAGAAGCUAUGAAAAAUAAAAGAGAAGGUAACAUCUUUACAGUACUGAAAAUAAAAUACUAAAACAGAAUUCUGUACUCAGUAAAAAUGUCUCUCAAAAAUGAAGGUGGAGUAGUAGUCCCAAAACAAGCAAAUUAAAACAGUAUUUACUUUCUGAAGAUCUGAAUUAAUGUAAUAUUAAAGACUUUCAUCACAAGAAAUAAAAUAUUAGAUAGAAACUCAGGUUUAUACAAAGUGAAUAGUUUCAUAAAUGGUGACUACAAAGAAAACUUGAAAAUUGCUCUCAGUUUUAAUUGAUUGAACAGGUAACUAACAAAUAGCGCUAAGAAUGUUUUGAGUAAUAUUUUAUGAACUCUACAUGAACAUUCAUGACAACACAAUACAAUGUGAGGGUGAAACUGAGAGAAUAUUAUAUUAUAAAGCUAUUACAUUAUAAAUGACAUGGUGUAACAUGUUUAAAAUGGGACAGUAAGAAAUUUAACUUUUUAUUACAAAACUUAAGAAAUACUAAAAAAACAAAAAAGAUUGGUAACUAAUAGGGCAUACUGGAGAUAAAUUAAAUCACAAAAAUAGUCCAUUAAUCCAGAAGAAGACAAAAAAAGAGAAAAAGAACAGAAUAGAUGAAAAAUCAGUAUUCAUCAAGAUGGUAGAUUUACACAUUAAUCAUUUACUUAAAUGUAAAUGUAAAUGGUGUAAACAUAAACACUAAAUGAUAUUUUUUUAAUCAAGUAAAAACAAGACCAA